GGACGCCCUUCUGCUGCCAAAGCUGGCUGGUGGUUCUUUCUGGAAUGGCAGCUUUCCCCAUCCCCCUUCAGGCUUGGGUCGAUCUUCUGGCAGGCAAACGUACUAAAGAGUUACAGGUGGUGCAGAUACGGUUUGGAAGGAAUCCCAGCUGGGCCUCCUCCCAGAAGCCUUCUGAUCACUCACCAGAUAACUCUAGCUGCUUGCAGAGUCCUGGGAAUCUUAGCUUCUCCAGGAAACCAGCUUCAAGGGCAACAAGAGGUUCUGAGGAGCUAGAAUAAUCUCGGAAGCUGAAACUGCUUUGUCCUUUUGCUUCCUUAGGUUGGAAAUAUUUUUGCAAUACCACUGAAUCCUCCAGUUUUUACCCCUUACGAUGGGAAGUGAAUACAGUAUGAAAAGGGAGUGGGACAUAUGAGAGGAACGACAGGCUCAAAAUAUGAAGACUUAAUCCAGACACCUCUGUGUCUCUGAACUUGCGUUGUUUCUUCUUUGGAGGUGAAGUACACAUCGUUUUACUCCGGGCAGAGGACUUGUGCUCCUUUUGAGAACUUUCAGCUCUGUAGUGUCGAGUCUUCUGGUUUCCAGAUCCACAUCCUGCCCUGGGGGAAUUGACAUCCAUCAGCUUCUUCUAGGAAAGCACUCUGAAGCCAAGUUGAAACAUUAUACUCUCAGGCAGUAGUAGAGAUCAACCUCUUAAAACCAAAUCCAUGGGCCCAGGAGUAUGGAAAAGAGUUCAAUAAAAUGGCCUUAACUGGUAUAAGAAGUUACAAUUGUUAAAAGGAGAUUCAGCUGUGAUAGCAAAAGAGAAAGAAAAUGAAAAAGUUGUCCUGGCUCAUCUCUGGAAAGACAUGAUAUUUCAUAACCUCAAGGUGUUUGCUUCUGACCUAUAACUUCAAUUAUAGACCAGGUUAUCCAAAAGUUCUCCUUAUUAACAAGAAUUAUCAGUCUGAUACGUGGUAAGUAAGUGGUUUCUAGGUAUUUAAUAUGCCUUUUCCUGAUAACUAAUUUGCCAGAUAGAUUUUCCAAAAAUGGUUGCAACAAUAUCUCCCAUCCCUGAUUCUCUUCUUAAAUAUGACUUUGACAACUUUUCUAUCAAGAGGUAGGGUCUAUAUCCCCUUCCCUUGAAACUAAGAGGGUCUGUGGUUAAGGCAGAACUGACACUCAGUGACUUUUGAGCUAAGUCAUAAAAGAUGAUACAACUUAUGGCUGGUUCUGACUCAAUCUUGGAACCCAGCCAUCAUGUUGUGAAGAAUCUCAGGACAUUUACAGAGGCUUCAUAGGUUUCUGGCAGACAGCUCCAGCUUACAACAGCAUCAACCAACAGACUUGUGAGUGAAGAUGGCUCCUGAAGGUAUCAGCCCCCCGCUGUCCAGUCACCUCCCAGCUUUUGAGUCUUUCCAGCCGAGACCCCAGACACCAAGGCACAGAGACAAACGUCUGCAUUGUAACCUGUCCAAAAUUCUGACCCACAGAGUUCUUGGCAUAAUAUAAUGAUUGUUUUAUGUCACUAAAGUUUGGAGUGGCUUGUCACAUUGCAAUAAAAAAUUGCAACAACGAAGGAGGUUGAUUAUCUUUUCAUGCUUAUUGAUCAUUUGCAUUUCUUCUGUGUACUGUCUAUUCACAAAUUUUGCCUGUUUGACUCUUGGGUUAUUUGUCUUGCUCAUAUUUUCUGCAUAUUAAUCCUACUUUUGUUACCUAUAUUGCAAAUGUAUUCAACCAGUUGCUUGCUAGGUAAUAGAGAAAUUUGAGUUUUAUGUAUCCGUUCAUUGUUUUCAUUUUUUAGUCUUGGGGUUUUGUAUCUUUUUUUUUUUUUUUUUUUUUUUUUUUGAGACGACGGAGUCUCUCUCUGUCACCCAGGCUGGAGUGCAGUGGCGUGAUCUCCGCUCACUGCAAGCUCUGCCUCCCGGGUUCAUGCUGUUUUCCUGCCUCAGCCUCCCAAAUAGCUGGGACCACAGGCGCCCGCCACCAUGCCCAGCUAAUUUUUUUUUUUUUUGUAUUUUUUAGUAGAGACGGGGUUUCACUGUGUUAGCCAGGAUGGUCUCGAUCUCCUGACCUCGUGAUCCGCCAGCCUCGGCCUCCCGAAGUGCUGGGAUUACAGGCGUGAGCCACUGUGCCCGGCCGGUUUUGUGUCUUUUUUAGAAAAAGGCUUUCCCAUUUGAAGAAUAUAAAAAUAUCCUAUACUUUCUUCUAGCACUUUUAUACCUUUUCUUAUUCAUCAUAAGAUCAGUCUCUGACUCUAUCUUGAAUUUAUUAUUUUACAUGGUAUGGGACAGUGAAAAUCUAACUCUUUUUAGAUGGAUAGUCAGUUGUCUCUGUACCAUUUAUUUAAAUCAUCCAUUCUUUUUCCAUUGAUUUGAAAUGCCUCCUUUAUGAACUAAAUUCUUAAAUAAAUAUAUGUCUAUUUCUAGACUGUCUAUUCUGAACCAUUAAACUGUUUGAUCAUUACUACAAAAGUGCCAUUUUAUUUUAAUUUAUAUAGCUUUUUGAUAUGUUCUGAUAUCCAGUAGAACGCAUAGUAUAGUCUAAUUUUUCUUCCCCCAGAAAUAUCUUUGCAGAUUUUAAGAAUUUCGUCUUUCAGAUAAAUUUCAGAAUAAACUCGCCAAGUGCCUUGCUUGGCACUUAAGUCACAGCCUUGCUUUGACUUAAUAAAUUAAUGUGUAGCAAACUGACAUAUUUAUUAUGUCUUCUUGUAUAUUAACAUGGUAUAUUUCCCCAU
rnacentral:lncRNA from 1 species